rnacentral:misc_RNA from 1 species
AAUGAAACCUUUAUAUACGA